GGGGGCUUCUGUUGAUGGGCGCCCCCUGACCCCUUGUGUUACGCCAAGUAUAACUACUUAGCGCAGCACACGCUUAUUCGCUCGUCCUGUUAGGAACUAGCUCGUCAGCGUUCGUAAACUCGUUAUUUUGGCUUACAUUUUUCCCAGCUAACGCGUGGGCACGAACAAGCGCGAUAAUCUUUACACUGCUGUCUACUUUCGCAUUAUCACCCCCUUGGUGGAGGUGCCGGGAGUUGAACCCGGAUCCAGCAGAUUAUUGCGUUAUCGCUUAUUUAUUGUUAUAGCUGAUUUAGC
rnacentral:tmRNA from 1 species